GUUAAGAGAAGCAAACAAGGGCGCAUGGGGGAUGCCUAGGCUCUCGGAGGCGAAGAAGGGCGCGGUAAGCUGCGAAAACUUGCGGGGACCCGCAAACAGGGUGUGAUCCGCAGGUUCCCGAAUGGGGCAACCCGGCCUGCUGAAGGCAGGCCACACCGAAAGGUGAGCAGACCCGGGGAACUGAAACAUCUAAGUACCCGGAGGAAGAGAAAACAAUAGUGAUUGCGCCUGUAGUGGCGAGCGAAAGCGCAAGAGCCCAAACCACGCCGGUCAAGGCCGGUGUGGGGUAAUAGGACCGUAGGACCAAACAGACCGUGACAUGAACUGCAUGGGAAGGCAGGCCAUAGAGGGUGAGAGCCCCGUAAUGGGAACGGAAAGGGAGGGGCGGUAUCCUGAGUAGGGCGGGGUCGGAGACGCCCCGCUUGAAAUAGCCGGCACCAUCCGGUAAGGCUAAAUACAUCCGAGAGACCGAUAGUGGACCAGUACCGUGAGGGAAAGGUGAAAAGCACCCCGAACAGGGGGGUGAAAGGAGAACCUGAAACCGUGCGCCCACAAGCGGUCAGAGCUCCGAAAUGGAGUAAUGGCGUGCCUUUUGCAUAAUGAGCCUACGAGUUGCCGUCACCGGCAAGGUUAACCCCGUAGACGGGGGCAGCCGGAGCGAAAGCGAGCCUGAACAGGGCGCAGAGUCGGUGGUGGCAGACGCGAAACUUUGUGAUCUACCCUUGGCCAGGGUGAAGCCCCGUUAACACGGGGUGGAGGCCCGAACCAGUGAGCGUUGAAAAGCUCUUGGAUGAGCCGAGGGUAGGGGUGAAAGGCUAAUCAAACUGAGAAAUAGCUCGUACUCCCCGAAAUGCCUUUAGGGGCAGCGUGGGGGUUUAGAGUUUGGCGGAGGUAGAGCUACCGAUUGGGCUAGGGGGGGUCACACCCUACCAAACCCAGACGAACUCCGAAUGCCGCCAAACAUACCCCGCAGUGAGGGCAUGGGUGCUAAGGUCCGUGCCCGAGAGGGAAAGAACCCAGACCUGCGGCUAAGGUCCCAAAAUCCAUACUAAGUUGAACUAAGGAGGUCCAGUUGCCGAGACAGCCAGGAGGUUAGCUUGGAAGCAGCUAUUCCUUUAAAGAGUGCGUAACAGCUCACUGGUCGAGCGACAGGGCAUCGAUAAUGAUCGGGCAUCAAGUAUGGUACCGAAGCCCAGGAUUGUUCCGAUUUAUCGGAACAGUGGUAGGGGAGCAUUCCAGCAGCGGAGAAGCCUUGGGGACAACCUUGGGUGGAGCGGCUGGAAAAGCAAAUGUAGGCAUAAGUAACGAGAAGGCGGGUGAGAACCCCGCCCACCGAUAGACUAAGGUUUCCGCGGCAAUGUCAAUCAGCCGCGGGUUAGCCAGGGCCUAAGGCGCAGCCGAAGGGCGUAGCCGAUGGACAACGGGUCAACAUUCCCGUGCUGCCAUUCCGGGCGAUGGGGAGAAGGAGGAGUGAAAGCCACGCGCCCUGACGGAACAGGGCGUUAAAGGGCGUAGGUAUAUCAGGGGCAGGCAAAUCCACCCUUGGUGCUGAAACCCGAUAGUACGCGGAGGCCUCGGCCGAAGCGAUAGUUGGCGUAAUCAUGCUCCCUAGAAAACCCCCUAAGCAAUACCGGUAUGGCACCUGUACCGCAAACCGACACAGGUAGUCAAGGAGAAUAUCCUGAGGUGCUCGGGUGAACCAUGGCCAAGGAACUCGGCAAAAUAACCCUGUAACUUCGGGAGAAGGGGAGCCCCGACCUAGUCGGGGCCGCAGAGAAAUGGCCCAGGCGACUGUUUAACAAAAACACAUGGCUUUGCGAAAUCGCAAGAUGAAGUAUAAGGCCUGACACCUGCCCGGUGCUGGAAGGUUAAGGGGGGGCGUGAGCCGCAAGGCGGGGCGCUGAACCGAAGCCCCAGUAAACGGCGGCCGUAACUAUAACGGUCCUAAGGUAGCGAAAUUCCUUGUCGGGUAAGUUCCGACCUGCACGAAUGGUGUAACGAUCUGGGCGCUGUCUCGGCCAUGGGCCCGGUGAAAUUGUAGCCACGGUGAAGAUGCCGUGUACCCGUCACGGGACGGAAAGACCCCAUGAACCUUUACUAUAGCUUCGCAUUGGCACUGGGGUGGCGGUGUGUAGGAUAGGCGGGAGGCGUAGAUCCCCGGCCGCUAGGCCGGGGGGAGCCAACGGUGAAAUACCGCCCUCCGCUUCCUCGGUGCCUAAUCCUGUGGAUACAGGAGACAUUGCGUGGUGGGUAGUUUGACUGGGGUGGUCGCCUCCGAAAGCGUAUCGGAGGCUUUCAAAGGCAUGCUCAGCACGGUCGGUAACCGUGCGCGGAGCGCAAUAGCAGAAGCAUGCUUGACAGUGAGGCCGACAGGCCGAUCUGGCGCGAAAGCGGGAUAUAGUGAUCCGGUGGUCCUGUAUGGAAGGGCCAUCGCUCAAAGGAUAAAAGGUACUCUGGGGAUAACAGGCUGAUCUCCCCCAAGAGCUCAUAUCGACGGGGAGGUUUGGCACCUCGAUGUCGGCUCGUCACAUCCUGGGGCUGGAGAAGGUCCCAAGGGUCGGGCUGUUCGCCCGUUAAAGUGGCACGCGAGCUGGGUUCAGAACGUCGUGAGACAGUUCGGUCCCUAUCUGUGAUGGGCGUUGGAAGCUUGAGGGGUUCUGGCCUUAGUACGAGAGGACCGGGCUGGACCAACCGCUGGUGUACCGGUUGCAGCGCCAGCUGCACAGCCGGGUAGCCAUGUUGGGAAGGGAUAAGCGCUGAAAGCAUCUAAGCGCGAACCCCACCCCGAGAUGAGGCUUCCGAACAAGGGCCGUGGGAGACGACCACGUGGAUAGGCCGCAGGUGUAAGGCCGGCAACGGUCGGGCCGAGCGGUACUAAUUGCCCGUACGCUUCAAGAAAA
rnacentral:rRNA from 1 species